rnacentral:misc_RNA from 1 species
GUCCAAUUAACAGAAAAAACCUCACAGAACGAGGGGUUAAAAAAAGAAAAGAAAAAGGAAGUCUUUUUUUUUUGGAUAGAAAAUGGAGGGGCAGAACAGAAGCAAGUGGAUAUGGCGUUUCGUGUCGUCUUCUCAUUCAUUGUUUCGAACCUUCCCUUCCGAUAUGGCAAGUGCGCGAACUUUUUUUCCCAAUUUCCACAGGUACUCUCUUAUUCCACUUGUUGUAGUUCUAUAAUUAUCCUGUUUGCUGUGCUCAUGCCAAGACUCAAAACUUAUUUUACUUAACAACAGGGGUUGAUCCUCCUGUUUACUGAGUUUAAUGCAUGCCAAACUAGUCUUUGAGCUUUGAAUUAAAGUCAGAAACUGAACCCAAAAUUCAAAUUCUAAAAUGGUAUUAUGGUAGAGAAGGAAAGCUAAAAAAUUGGAUUAGCUUUUUCAUACCAAAUGUUUUCCAACUCGAUUUGGUGGCUUUGUUUUGCGGUGUGUUUAUUUUAGGAGUAUGGAUAUGCUUCCUUUUAUUGAUCAUACUCUGAAUUUUGCUGGUUUUGGUCUGCAAAUAUCAUAUGAUCUUCCCAACUCUGUAAUGGUUCUCAUAUUUCUGAUUUUUCUUUGCUUAUAGUGAUGGUUAUCGGAUUGGAUAAGUUCGCCCUGUUGAUGAUGGAAUGAGAUAAAGGGUAAAGAAUAUUUUGGGACAUCUGUGGCUCAUGGGUUUUUGAUAUUUCAGGAUUUUAUCUCCUAAAUUCUUCAAUUUAAACAGAAUAUAUAGAUUGUGCUAUUUUGGAGAUUCCCUGUAUGCUGCCAUGCAAAAGCAGAAUAUUCUAUAUUCCAAGGCCUCUUUCGGCUUUGGAACCAGCCUUGAUAGGCAAUUUGGUUCUAGAAUUCUUUAUGUAAUUCCAACCAUGAAUCUUUGUAGAUGUAAUGUGAAAUCGUUUCUUGUACCACCCAAAAUUCUGCCCAUCACCAGGACUGCAGGGUUGGAUUUUCUGAAAAACGGCGAAGCUUUGCAACCUGGAAGAAUCAAAGGUGUAGCUUAUGGAAAUCCUGGGGAAUUAUCUGAUGAAGACGAAGAUCUGUGUCCUGUGGAUUGUGUUAGAGAAUUUAAGAGUGAUGAGGAAUUCUUCAAAAUUCUUGAAAAUGCCAAAGAAACUUGUUCAUUAGUGGUGGUUGAUUUUUAUCGCCCUUCUUGUGGAAGCUGCAAGUAUAUAGAGCAGGGAUUUGCAAAAUUAUGCAAGGGAGCUGGUGAUGAAGAGGCUGCAGUGGUUUUCUUAAAGCAUAAUGUGAGUAGUUUUGUAAGCUGAGUUUGUUUGGGUUGCACAAGACCUUUAUGGGUAUCACCUAAAUUUUCAAAGACUUAAUUUUACUAACAAGGACUGUAUAUGAAAAGGACAUAGUGUUUGGAAACUAAGAAUAAUCUAAUGUAUUCUAAAUGAUCAAUGUACUUGCUACCUAAUAUGAUUCCCCUAAGAAGGAAUCAACCAAGAAAGCAGGACACCUCUGAUCAAUUAUAAUCUUGAGUUCUUGUGCCAAGUCUGUAAUUUAAAACAAGUGAACAACUGACAAGCACUUUGAAUGACAGUGUGGGUGUGAAUUCUCCAGUGCAGGUUGGGGCCUGUCUUGUUUGGCAAAAUCAGUGUCAUAAAGUUCUAAUGUUAACUGAAUUUUUGGUGCUAUUUAUUGCAGGUAAUUGAUGAGUAUGAUGAACAAUCUGAGGUUGCCGAACGGCUUAGAAUAAAGGUAAUAUGUAGUAUAUUUAUUUUUAUUGAUUAUUAUUACUUUUUUAUCUGAGAGUAUGUCCUGAAUAUUGUUGUCAACUUAUUAUUAGUAUUCUGGUCCGUGCUACUCCUUGAUCAAAACUACAAUUCAUCAUAUUAGAUUCACGCUGAUACAAUCUUGAGGUUUCUCUUACUUGAUGCAGACGGUGCCCCUCUUCCAUUUCUAUAAAAAUGGAGUCCUGUUGGAAGCAUUCCCUACCAGAGACAAGGAGAGAAUUAUUGCAGCAAUUCUUAAAUACACAUCUCCUGCAUCUAAAUCCCACAUGAAUUAAUCAGGUUAUGUUCUCAAAAUUUGUUCCUGCAGGAAAAUAAUAAAAAUACUUGGAAUGAAAGUACAUGUGGUUGACUACUACGGAAUAGUCGUAUGUAAUAAAUACUGGGUAUACCUAAAAGAUACUGUCUUUUGAGUGUGAAAAGUAAAAUUACGUGUCUUCAUACUUGCAUUCAUUAGCUAUUGGAUUAAUACCAUCUCAUGCUAGUUUAUUGUCCACUGUACAUGGGGUUAUUCUAUGUUGAUGUGAAGAUGAUCCAAUGAAGAUGUAGAUGAUCAUUUGAAGCACAAUUAGAUAUGAAACCAAUAGUUGAUUCGGCCAUUGUAGUAGAAGUUGCAUCUGUUCCAAGGAAGUAGGACAGGAGUAAUUUGACUCUGGCAGGAUGCCAGCAAAGAAAUGGUUAUAUUGAGCUCAUAUCUUGUUAUGUUCCUUGUAUACUGCAUAGUGCUGUUAGUAUAUGUUUCUUGUUGACAUGACCAGAUGUUCUUUAGCUUCUGAUUAGGAGUGCAGGACUGUGAAUGAGUGAUGACGAGAUUUAUUCUGAAAUGCUAGGAGCUUCAAUAUAGGGAAUAGGAUCAAUCCAUGUGUUCACGCCCUUUAUGAAUUCUGAAAAGUUGUCCAAAGUUUUGUUGAAGGCAAUCACAAAGACGAGCCGUUUGGCUUCAGUUAAAUUGAUCUUACACAAAAAAGACUACAUUGAAGGAUGCAAUAUGAAAACUUUCAGGAAUUGUUAAAAGGGAAAACUGCUGCUGCUUCUUCUUCUUCUU